rfam:Cavia porcellus supercont2_127 genomic scaffold, whole genome shotgun sequence.
GGGGAUUUAGCUCAGCGGCAUAAGCGCCUGCCUUGCAAGCAGGUAGUUGUAAGUUCGAUCCCUG